rnacentral:rRNA from 1 species
AUAUCAAUAAGCGCAGGAAAAGAAACCAACAGGGAUUGCCUCAGUAACGGCGAGUGAAGCGGCAACAGCUCAAAUUUGAAAUCUGGCCUCUCGGGGUCCGAGUUGUAAUUUGUAGAGGAUGUUUUGGGUACCGCCCCGGUUUAAAUUUCUUGGAACAGAAUGUCAAAGAGGGUGAGAAUCCCGUCUUGGACCGGCGGUAGGGCCUAUGUAAAACUCCUUCGACGAGUCGAGUUGUUUGGGAAUGCAGCUCAAAAUGGGUGGUAAAUUUCAUCUAAAGCUAAAUACAGGCACGAGACCGAUAGCGAACAAGUACCGUGAGGGAAAGAUGAAAAGCACUUUGAAAAGAGAGUUAAAUAGCACGUGAAGCCGUUAAAAUGGAAACGAUUGAAGUCAGCAGUGCUCAUGUAGCAAUCAGUCUUUUCGGGGCUGGCAGCGGUGGCUAUUGGAGGGCGCAAGCUCACGUGGUUGCUGUUGAUCCGGUUCAGUGGGAUGUACUUGAUAUGUGAGCGGGUCAGCAUCGGUUCGAUGUGGUGGGGUAAGGUGCGCGGGAAGGUAGCUCUUGACCGAGUGUUAAGCCUGCGUACUGAGACAUCUGUUGGACCGAGGAGUAGCAGCGUUGCCCUCUGGGCUAGAGGCUUGUUUCCGUGGUAUUUUC